rfam:Hordeum vulgare subsp. vulgare, WGS project CAJW01000000 data, contig: morex_contig_362260
CAAAUACUCCCUCAGUCUGGAAAUACUUGUCCUAGAAAUGGAUACAGUGGAUGUAUCUAUAACUAAAAUAACUCUAGACACAUCCAUUUGUAGGACAAGUAUUUCCGAACGGAGGGAGUAUUAA